GACAGAGGGUGCAAACGUUGUUCGGAAUUACUGGGCGUAAAGCGCGUGUAGGCGGCAGGGCAAGUCGGAUGUGAAAGCCCACGGCUCAACCGUGGAAGUGCACCCGAAACUGCCUCGCUAGAGUCUCGGAGAGGAAGGUGGAAUGCUUGGUGUAGAGGUGAAAUUCGUAGAUAUCGGGAGGAACACCAGUGGCGAAGGCGGCCACCUGGACGAACACUGACGCUGAGACUCGAAAGCGUGGGGAGCAAACAGG
rnacentral:rRNA from 1 species